rnacentral:rRNA from 1 species
UACGGAGGAUCCAAGCGUUAUCCGGAAUCAUUGGGUUUAAAGGGUCCGUAGGCGGGUGCGUAAGUCAGUGGUGAAAGUCUGCAGCUCAACUGUAGAACUGCCAUUGAUACUGCACACCUUGAGUAAUUAUGAAGUGGUUAGAAUAUGUAGUGUAGCGGUGAAAUGCAUAGAUAUUACAUAGAAUACCGAUUGCGAAGGCAGAUCACUAAUAAUUUACUGACGCUGAUGGACGAAAGCGUAGGUAGCGAACAGG